GUUGGCUUGGAAGCAGCCAUUCAUUUAAAGAGUGCGUAACAGCUCACUAGUCGAGCGAUCUGGCGUGGAUAAUAAUCGGGCAUAAACGAUCUGCCGAAGCCGCGGAUGUCGCAAGACAUGGUAGGGGAGCAUUCCAUGGGCGUCGAAGAUGAGGGAUGACCCUUGUUGGAGCGCAUGGAAAAGCAAAUGUAGGUAUGAGUAACGAUAAGGGGGGCGAGAAACCCCCCCGCCGAAAGACCAAGGUUUCCUGAUCAACGCUAAUCGGAUCAGGGUGAGUCGGGACCUAAGGCAAAGCCGAACGGCGCCGCCGAUGGAAGAAUGGGUUAAUAUUCCCAUACUGCCUCAUGGAGUGACGUGGAGACGGAGAAGUGACAGUCCUGCCGGCUGACGGAAUAGCCGGUUGAAGGGUGUAGGUGUCGAUCGCGGUAGGCAAAUCCGCCGCGAGAGCCGAACCUGAGAGUAUACGGAGCGCUUGCGCAACGUAAUAUGGACGUAACCAUGCUCCCAAGAAAAUCCGCUAAACUUAUCCAUGCGGCACCCGUACCGUAAACGGACACACGUGGUCGGGUUGAGAAUACUGAGGCGCUCGAGUGAUUCACGGUUAAGGAACUAGGCAAAUUGACCCUGUAACUUCGGGAUAAAGGGUCCUCGUCGUAAGGCGAGGCGCAGAGAAUAGGUCCAGGCAACUGUUUAACAAAAACACAUGGCUGUGCCAAAUGGAAACAUGACGUAUACAGCCUGACACCUGCCCGGUGCCGGAAGGUUAAGAGGAGAUGUCAUCCGCGAGGAGAAGCGUUGAAUUGAAGCCCCGGUAAACGGCGGCCGUAACAAUAACGGUCCUAAGGUAGCGAAAUUCCUUGUCGGGUAAGUUCCGACCUGCACGAAUGGUGUAAUGAUCUGGACACUGUCUCAACCGUGAGCUCAGUGAAAUUGUAGUAUCGGUGAAGAUGCCGAUUACCCGCGAUGGGACGAAAAGACCCCGUGAACCUUUACUAUAGCUUUACAUUGAGUUUGGGCAGACGAUGUGUAGGAUAGGCCGGAGGCUUUGAAGCAGGUACGCCAGUAUUUGUGGAGCCGACGUUGAAAUACGGCCCUUCGGUUGUUUGAGUUCUAACUCCCGGACGGGAGGACACUGUAUGGUGGGUAGUUUGACUGGGGUGGUCGCCUCCAAAAGCGUAACGGAGGCUUCUAAAGGUGCCCUCAGACCGAUUGGUAACCGGUCGCAGAGUGUAAUGGCAUAAGGGCGCUUGACUGGGAGACAUACAAGUCGAUCAGGUAGGAAACUAGAGCAUAGUGAUCCGGUGGUUCCGCAUGGAAGGGCCAUCGCUCAAAGGAUAAAAGGUACUCCGGGGAUAACAGGCUGAUCAUUCCCAAGAGCUCAUAUCGACGGAAUGGUUUGGCACCUCGAUGUCGGCUCGUCACAUCCUGGGGCUGGAGAAGGUCCCAAGGGUUGGGCUGUUCGCCCAUUAAAGUGGCACGCGAGCUGGGUUCAGAACGUCGUGAGACAGUUCGGUCUCUAUCUAUCGUGGGCGCAGGAGAUUUGAGGGGCUCUGACACUAGUACGAGAGGACCGUGUUGGACGUACCACUGGUUUACCGGUUGUCCCGCCAGGGGCACCGCCGGGUAUCUAAGUACGGAUCGGAUAAGUGCUGAAAGCAUCUAAGUACGAAGCCGGCCUCAAGAUUAGAUCUCCCUCAAGGGUGGUUAUAGACGAUGACCUUGAUAGGCCACAGGUGUAAGGGCGGCGACGUCCGAGCCGAGUGGUACUAAUAGCCAGAUCGGAAGAGC
rnacentral:rRNA from 1 species